rnacentral:rRNA from 1 species
CCUACGGGAGGCAGCAGUGGGGAAUCUUGCACAAUGGAGGAAACUCUGAUGCAGCGAUGCCGCGUGAGUGAAGAAGGCCCUUGGGUUGUAAAGCUCUUUCGUCGGGGAAGAAAAUGACUGUACCCGAAUAAGAAGGUCCGGCUAACUUCGUGCCAGCAGCCGCGGUAAUACGAAGGGACCUAGCGUAGUUCGGAAUUACUGGGCUUAAAGAGUUCGUAGGUGGUUGAAAAAGUUAGUGGUGAAAUCCCAGAGCUUAACUCUGGAACUGCCAUUAAAACUUUUCAGCUAGAGUAUGAUAGAGGAAAGCAGAGUUUCUAGUGUAGAGGUGAAAUUCGUAGAUAUUAGAAAGAAUACCAAUUGCGAAGGCAGCUUUCUGGAUCAUUACUGACACUGAGGAACGAAAGCAUGGGUAGCGAAGAGGAUUAGAUACCCUCGUAGUCCAUGCCGUAAACGAUGUGUGUUAGACGUUGGAAAUUUAUUUUCAGUGUCGCAGGGAAACCGAUAAACACACCGCCUGGGGAGUACGACCGCAAGGUUAAAACUCAAAGGAAUUGACGG